rnacentral:rRNA from 1 species
GUGAGGAAUUUUCCGCAAUGGGCGAAAGCCUGACGGAGCAAUGCCGCGUGAAGGAUGAAGGCCUAUGGGUUGUAAACUUCUUUUCUCAGAAAAGAAUUAUGACGGUAUCUGAGGAAUAAGCAUCGGCUAACUCUGUGCCAGCAGCCGCGGUAAGACAGAGGAUGCAAGCGUUAUCCGGAAUGAUUGGGCGUAAAGCGUCUGUAGGUUGUUUAAACAGUAUUCUGUCAAAGAUUAGGGCUUAACCCUAGAUAGGCAGAAUAAACUUUUAAGCUAGAGUUUGGUAGAGGCACAGGGAAUUCCCGGUGGAUCGGUGAAAUGCGUAGAUAUCGGGAGGAACACCAAAGGCGAAGGCACGCUGCUGGGCCAAUACUAACACUGAGAGACGAAAGCGAGGGGAGCAAAUGGGAUUAGAAACCCGGGUAGUCC